CCUACGGGAGGCAGCAGUGGGGAAUAUUGGACAAUGGGGGAAACCCUGAUCCAGCGACGCCGCGUGAGUGAAGAAGUAUUUCGGUAUGUAAAGCUCUAUCAGCAGGGAAGAAAAUGACGGUACCUGACUAAGAAGCCCCGGCUAACUACGUGCCAGCAGCCGCGGUAAUACGUAGGGGGCAAGCGUUAUCCGGAUUUACUGGGUGUAAAGGGAGCGCAGACGGCCAAGCAAGUCUGAAGUGAAAUGCAUGGGCUCAACCCAUGAAUUGCUUUGGAAACUGUUAGGCUUGAGUGUCGGAGGGGUAAGCGGAAUUCCUAGUGUAGCGGUGAAAUGCGUAGAUAUUAGGAGGAACACCGGAGGCGAAGGCGGCUUACUGGACGACAACUGACGUUGAGGCUCGAAGGCGUGGGGAGCAAACAGGAUUAGAUACCCUGGUAGUC
rnacentral:rRNA from 1 species